GGUUUUUUUUUUUUGGGGGGAAAUUUGUUUGGAUUUUUUGCCCCAUCGGUUUUGGGGGGGUGGUUUUUGGGUUUGGGGGGAUAUAAGGGGGUGGGGGAGAUUUGGGUCUUGUUUCGGGAGGGGGAGCCUGAGAGGGGGCCCCCAUUUCCAAGGGAUGGCAGCGGGGGGGUAAUUUCCCCUAGUGGGGUCUCCCCGAGGUUGGGUGGAGAAAUUUGUAUGGGAAGUGGGUUUGGGUUUUGUUAUGGGAUUGAGAGCAAUGUAAAACCCUCGGCGGGGGUCAAGUGGAGGGCAAGUUUGGUCCCAGCAUCCGCGGUAAUUCCAGCUCCAGAAGCAUAGGAUAAAGUUGUUCCAUUUAAAAAUCUUGGGGUUGAAUUUGGGGCAUGGGGGACCGGUGUUUUCCUAGAAGGGGGAUUGAUUUUUUGGUUUGCUUGGCCCUUUUUUUUCUUUUUUUUUUGGGGAAGAAAUCUUUCACUGUAAUCAAAGCAAAGUGUUCCAAGCAGGUCGUAUGACCGGUAUGUUUAUUAUGGGAUGAUAAGAUAGGACUUGGGUGCUAUUUUGUUGGUUUGCACGCCUGAGUAAGGGUUAAUAGGAACAGUGGGGGGUAUUCGUAUUUAGGAGCUAGAGGUGAAAUUCUGGGAUUUCCGAAAGACGAAAUAGAGCGAAGGCAUUUACCAAGCAUGUUUUCAUUAAUCAAGAACGAAAGUCUGGGGAUCGAAAAUGAUUAAAUACCAUCGUAGUCUAGACCGUAAACGAUGCCAACUUGCGAUUGUUGGGGGCUUUUUUAUGGGCCCCACCACCACCCCAUAAAAAAACAAAAUCUUUGGGUUCCGGGGGGAGAAUGGGCCCAAGGCUGAAACUUAAAGGAAUUGACGGAAGGGCCCCCCCCGGAGUGGAGCCCGCGGCUUAAUUUUACUCAACACGGGAAAACUUACCAGGGCCAAACAUAGGUAGGAUUGAAAAAUUGAAAGCUCUUUCAUGAUUCUAUGGGGGGGGGGGCAUGGCCGUUCUUAGUUGGGGGAGUGAUUUGUCUGGGUAAUUCCCUUAACAAACAAAACCCCGGCCCACUAAAAAGUGCGUGGGAUGGCAACAUAAAGCGUUUUUACUUCUUAGAGGGACAUGUCCGGUUUACGGGCAGGAAGUUCGAGGCAAUAACAGGUCUGUGAUGCCCUUAGAUGUUCUGGGCCGCACGCGCGCUACACUGAUGGGUUCAUCGGGUUUUAAUUCUAAUUUUUGGAAUUGAGUGCUUGGUCGGAAGGCCUGGCUAAUCCUUGGAACCCUCAUCCGGCUGGGGCUAAAUUUUUGCAAUUAUUAAUCUCCAACGAGGAAUUCCUAAUAAACCCAAGUCAUCCACUUGCAUUGAAUACCUCCCUGCCCUUUGUACACACCGCCCGUCCCACCUACCGAUUGAACGGGCCGAUGAAACCAUGGGAUGUUUCUGUUUGGAUUCAUUUUUGGACAAAAGCCAAACUCGGGUGAAUCUUAUUGUUUAAAGGAAGGGGAAAUCCUAACAAGGUUUCCGUAAGGGAACCCUGCCGAAAA
rnacentral:rRNA from 1 species